UUGUAAACUUCUUUUAUAAAGGAAUAAAGUCGGGUAUGGAUACCCGUUUGCAUGUACUUUAUGAAUAAGGAUCGGCUAACUCCGUGCCAGCAGCCGCGGUAAUACGGAGGAUUCGAGCGUUAUCCGGAUUUAUUGGGUUUAAAGGGAGCGUAGAUGGAUGUUUAAGUCAGUUGUGAAAGUUUGCGGCUCAACCGUAAAAUUGCAGUUGAUACUGGAUAUCUUGAGUGCAGUUGAGGCAGGCGGAAUUCGUGGUGUAGCGGUGAAAUGCUUAGAUAUCACGAAGAACUCCGAUUGCGAAGGCAGCCUGCUAAGCUGCAACUGACAUUGAGGCUCGAAAGUGUGGGUAUCAAACAGGAUUAGAUACCCUGGUAGUCCACACGGUAAACGAUGAAUACUCGCUGUUUGCGAUAUACGGCAAGCGGCCAAGCGAAAGCGUUAAGUAUUCCACCUGGGGAGUACGCCGGCAACGGUGAAACUCAAAGGAAUUGACGGGGGCCCGCACAAGCGGAGGAACAUGUGGUUUAAUUCGAUGAUACGCGAGGAACCUUACCCGGGCUUAAAUUGCAGAUGAAUUACGGUGAAAGCCGUAAGCCGCAAGGCAUCUGUGAAGGUGCUGCAUGGUUGUCGUCAGCUCGUGCCGUGAGGUGUCGGCUUAAGUGCCAUAACGAGCGCAACCCUUGUUGUCAGUUACUAACAGGUUCUGCUGAGGACUCUGACAAGACUGCCAUCGUAAGAUGUGAGGAAGGUGGA
rnacentral:rRNA from 1 species